rnacentral:rRNA from 1 species
UGGGGAAUCUUGCACAAUGGAGGAAACUCUGAUGCAGCGACGCCGCGUGCGCGAUGAAGCCCUUCGGGGUGUAAAGCGCUUUCGACCGGAACGAUAAUGACGGUACCGGGAGAAGAAGCUGCGGCUAACUACGUGCCAGCAGCCGCGGUAAUACGUAGGCAGCAAGCGUUGUUCGGAGUUACUGGGCGUAAAGAGUCUGUAGGCGGUGUCCUAAGUUUGGGUGUGAAAUCUCCCGGCUUAACCGGGAGGGUGCGCCGAAGACUGGGAUGCUGGAGUAUGGGAGAGGAACGCGGAAUUCCUGGUGUAGCGGUGAAAUGCGUAGAUAUCAGGAGGAACACCGGUGGUGUAGACGGCGUUCUGGACCAUGACUGACGCUGAGAGACGAAAGCGUGGGGAGCAAACAGGAUUAGAUACCCUGGUAGUCCACGCCCUAAACGAUGCAUACUUGGUGUGCGCCAUUCAGUUGGUGUGUGCCGGAGCUAACGCGUUAAGUAUGCCGCCUGGGGA